rnacentral:rRNA from 1 species
GUGCCAGCCGCCGCGGUAAUACGGAGGAUGCGAGCGUUAUCCGGAUUUAUUGGGUUUAAAGGGUGCGCAGGCGGCGCGCUAAGUCAGCGGUGAAAUGUCCCGGCUCAACCGGGGAGCUGCCGUUGAUACUGGUGUGCUCGAGUGCGGACGGCGCCGGCGGAAUGUGUGAUGUAGCGGUGAAAUGCAUAGAUAUCACACAGAACACCGAUCGCGAAGGCAGCUGGCGAGGCCGUUACUGACGCUGAGGCACGAAAGCGUGGGGAUCAAACAGGAUUAGAUACCCUGGUAGUCCACGCAGUAAACGAUGAUGGCUUGUUGUCGGCGACAGACAGUCGGUGACAAAGCGAAAGCGAUAAGCCAUCCACCUGGGGAGUACGAUCGCAAGGUUGAAACUCAAAGGAAUUGACGGGGGCCCGCACAAGCGGAGGAGCAUGUGGUUUAAUUCGAUGAUACGCGAGGAACCUUACCUGGACUCAAAUGCAGUUGGACAGGCGGAGAGAUCCGUUUUCCCUUCGGGGCCGGCUGCAAGGUGCUGCAUGGUUGUCGUCAGCUCGUGCCGUGAGGUGUCAGGUUAAGUCCUAUAACGAGCGCAACCCCUACGUCCAGUUGCCAGCGGGUAGAGCCGGGGACUCUGGAGGGACUGCCGGCGCAAGCCGAGAGGAAGGUGGGGAUGACGUCAAAUCAGCACGGCCCUUACGUCCAGGGCGACACACGUGCUACAAUGGCCGGUACAGAGGGCAGCCACCCUGCGAGGGGGAGCGAAUCUCGAAAGCCGGUCUCAGUUCGGAUCGGAGUCUGCAACCCGACUCCGUGAAGUUGGAUUCGCUAGUAAUCGCGCAUCAGCCAUGGCGCGGUGAAUACGUUCCCGGGCCUUGUACACACCGCCCGU